UAAGACGAACCGUGCGAACGUUGUUCGGAAUCACUGGGCUUAAAGGGCGCGUAGGCGGGCGAUCAAGUCAGGGGUGAAAUCCCGCAGCUCAACUGCGGAAGUGCCUUUGAUACUGGUUGUCUCGAGGGAGAUAGGGGCAUGCGGAACUUCCGGUGGAGCGGUGAAAUGCGUAGAUAUCGGAAGGAACGCCGAUGGCGAAAGCAGCGUGCUGGAUCUCUUCUGACGCUGAGGCGCGAAAGCUAGGGGAGCAAACGGGAUUAGAUACCCCGGUAGUCCUAGCCCUAAACGAUGGGUACUAGGUAGUGGACUUGACAUGGGUUCACUGCCGAAGCAAAAGUGUUAAGUACCCCGCCUGGGGAGUAUGGUCGCAAGGCUG
rnacentral:rRNA from 1 species